rnacentral:rRNA from 1 species
CAGCAGCCGCGGUAAUACGUAGGGGGCGAGCGUUACCCGGAUUCACUGGGCGUAAAGGGGGUGUAGGCGGCUCGGUAAGUCGGGUGUGAAAUCCCACGGCUCAACCGUGGAAUUGCGCCCGAAACUGCCGAGCUUGGGGCCGGUAGAGGGAGACGGAACUGCCGGUGUAGGGGUGAAAUCCGUAGAUAUCGGCAGGAACGCCGGUGGGGAAGCCGGCCUCCUGGGCCGCGCCCGACGCUGAGGCCCGAAAGCUAGGGGAGCAAACCGGAUUAGAUACCCGGGUAGUCCUAGCCGUAAACGAUGCCCACUAGGUGUGGGGGAGUAUUUCCUCCGUGCUGUAGCUAACGCGUUAAGUGGGCCGCCUGGGGAGUACACCCGCAAGGGUGAAACUUAAAGGAAUUGGCGGG